rnacentral:rRNA from 1 species
AUUGAACGCUGGCGGCAGGCCUAACACAUGCAAGUCGAACGAGUGGCGGACGGGUGAGUAAUGUCUGGGAAACUGCCUGAUGGAGGGGGGUAACUACUUGCAACGGUAGCUAAUACCGCAUACCAUCAGAUGUGCCCAGAUGGGAGUAGCUAGUUGGUGGGGUAACGGCUCACCAAGGCGACGCACCCUAGCUGGUCUGAGAGGAGGUCCAGCCACACGGGAACUGAGACACGGUCCAGACUCCUACGGGAGGCAGCAGUGGGGAAUAUUGCACAAUGGGCGCAAGCCUGAGGCAGCCAUGCCGCGUGUAUGAAGAAGGCCUUCGGGUUGUAAAGUACUUUCAGCGGGGAGGAGUUACCCGCAGAAGAAGCACCGGCUAACUCCGUGCCAGCAGCCGCGGUAAUUC